UCGGGAAUUUUGGGCAAUGUGCGAAAGCCUGACCCAGCAACGCCGCGUGAAGGAUGAAGUAUUUCGGUAUGUAAACUUCGUAAGAAUAGGAAGAAUAAAUGACGGUACUAUUUGUAAGGUCCGGCUAACUACGUGCCAGCAGCCGCGGUAAUACGUAGGGACCAAGCGUUGUUCGGAUUUACUGGGCAUAAAGGGCGCGUAGGCGGUUUGUCAAGUCAGUUGUGAAAUCUCCGAGCUUAACUCGGAACGGUCAACUGAUACUGUCAAACUAGAGUACAGAAGGGGCAAUCGGAAUUCUUGGUGUAGCGGUGAAAUGCGUAGAUAUCAAGAGGAACACCUGAGGCGAAGGCGGGUUGCUGGGCUGAUACUGACGCUGAAGCGCGAAAGCUAGGGUAGCAAACAGGAUUAGAUACCCCCGUAGUCCCUGAGCGGGCUGGCAAGGCGCAU
rnacentral:rRNA from 1 species